rnacentral:rRNA from 1 species
UACAGAGGUGGCAAGCGUUGUUCGGAAUUACUGGGCGUAAAGGGCGCGUAGGCGGCCUCGCAAGUCCCGUGUGAAAUCCCUCGGCUCAACUGAGGAAUGGCACGGGAAACUGCGGGGCUUGAGUUCGGGAGAGGGAAGCGGAAUUCCGGGUGUAGCGGUGAAAUGCGUAGAUAUCCGGAAGAACACCCGUGGCGAAGGCGGUUCUCUGGGACGGUACUGACGCUGAGACGCGAAAGCGUGGGGAGCGAACAGG